rnacentral:rRNA from 1 species
GAUGAACGCUGGCGGCGUGCCUAAUACAUGCCAGUCGAGCGAACGGACGAGAAGCUUGCUUCUCUGAUGUUAGCGGCGGACGGGUGAGUAACAUGUGGAUAACCUACCUAUAAGACUGGGAUAACUUCGGGAAACCGGAGCUAAUACCGGAUAAUAUUUUGAACCGCAUGGUUCAAAAGUAAAAGACGGUCUUGCUGUCACUUAUAGAUGGAUCCGCGCUGCAUUAGCUAGUUGGUAAGGUAACGGCUUACCAAGGCAACGAUGCAUAGCCGACCUGAGAGGGUGAUCGGCCACACUGGAACUGAGACACGGUCCAGACUCCUACGGGAGGCAGCAGUAGGGAAUCUUCCGCAAUGGGCGAAAGCCUGACGGAGCAACGCCGCGUGAGUGAUGAAGGUCUUCGGAUCGUAAAACUCUGUUAUUAGGGAAGAACAUAUGUGUAAGUAACUGUGCACAUCUUGACGGUACCUAAUCAGAAAGCCACGGCUAACUACGUG